rnacentral:rRNA from 1 species
UACGACUACAUAUCAGGCAUAUCAAUAAGCGGAGGAAAAGAAACUAACAAGGAUUCCCUUAGUAACGGCGAGUGAAGCGGGAAGAGCUCAAAUUUGAAAUCUUCAAGGUUUUACCUUGACGAAUUGUAGUUUAAAGAAGUGUUUUCUGUUGAAGUUUUGGUAAAAGUUCUUUGGAAUAGGACAUCAUAGAGGGUGAGAAUCCCGUAUUUGACCAUUAUUUUCAGCUGUGUGAUACACUUUCAAAGAGUCGGAUUGUUUGGGAAUGCAGUCCAAAAUGGGUGGUAAAUUUCAUCUAAAGCUAAAUAUUGGCGAGAGACCGAUAGCGAACAAGUACCGUGAGGGAAAGAUGAAAAGAACUUUGAAAAGAGAGUUAAACAGUACGUGAAAUUGUCAAAAGGGAAGCGUUUGACACCAGUGUUGUUUUCUCGAAAAUCAAUUAAAAAAAGUUGGAUUUUGUGUUGUAUUGACCUUAACAGCUUGCUUCACUCUUUUCCGGCUUUUUUUAAUGCACUUUUCGUUUAACAAGUCAACAUCAGUUUCUUUUGUUGUAAAAGGGUCAUUGGAAGGUGGCUUUCUCUUCGGAGAAAGUGUUUAUAGCCUUUGAUCUCUGCAAUCGGAGAGACUGAGGUCUGCAGCGUAGAUCCUUCGGGGUUAGAUACAUUUGUGCUAAGCUACAGCUUUUCAUAGACAACUUGUUGACUAUGUUUAGUCUUGUAACUUACCCGCUUAUGCUAUUUUACCUACGCUUAGGAUGUUGAGCGCAUGUCUCUCUCU